rnacentral:rRNA from 1 species
AUUGAACGCUGGCGGCAGGCCUAACACAUGCAAGUCGAACGGUAACAGGAAGAAGCUUGCUUCUUUGCUGACGAGUGGCGGACGGGUGAGUAAUGUCUGGGAAACUGCCUGAUGGAGGGGGAUAACUACUGGAAACGGUAGCUAAUACCGCAUAACGUCGCAAGACCAAAGAGGGGGACCUUCGGGCCUUUUGCCAUCGGAUGUGCCCAGAUGGGAUUAGCUAGUAGGUGGGGUAACGGCUCACCUAGGCGACGAUCCCUAGCUGGUCUGAGGGGAUGACCCCCGCCGCUGAAGGUGAGCCGCGGUCCGGCCUCCGACGGGCGGCGCAGGUGGGAAAUGUUGCCAACUGGGGGCAAGCCUGUGGAAGCCAUGCGGCGUGUAUGAAGAAGGCCUUCGGGUUGUAAGGUACUUUCCGGGGGGGGAACGGGGUUAAGGUUAAUACCUGUGCGCAUUGCGGUACCCGCAGAAGAAGCACCGGCUAACUCCGUG